CAGUAGCCGCGGGAAUACGAAGGGUGCAAGCGUUACUCGGAAUUACUGGGCGUAAAGCGUGCGUAGGCGGUGAGUUAAGUCUGCUGUGAAAUCCCCGGGCUCAACCUGGGAAUGGCAGUGGAUACUGGCUCGCUAGAGUGUGUCAGAGGAUGGUGGAAUUCCCGGUGUAGCAGUGAAAUGCGUAGAGAUGUGGAGGAACACCGAUGGCGAAGGCAGCCCCCUGGGCCAAUACUGACGCUCAUGCACGAAAACGUGGGGAGCAAACAGGAUUAGAUACCCCUGUAGUCCCUGUCUCUUAUAC
rnacentral:rRNA from 1 species